rnacentral:lncRNA from 1 species
AAAUAUGAAACAAAAAAAUCAAAAUAAGGAGGAGGCAUAGGGAGGUUGGACUAAGGAUAAACUUAAGAUGGAACAUUGCGUUCUUUAUAAUUAGUAGAGAUGGUAAUAAGUUAAUAAAACAUUGGGACAGUUGAGAUUUUUUUUCCAGCAAAACUAGUGGGAAAAUAAUAAAGGAUGGGAGAGAGAUAAACAAAAACAGGUGCGAGGACGUAGAAAAACAAAGGACAAUCGUAAUACAGAACCUCAUUCUUUUAGAUAGUAUAUAUAGUACCCUAAAAAAGAUAGUAUAUAUAGAGAUAGAUGAAAUAAUAAGUAUAUCAAAUAUUUUCUUCAUACAUGAAAUGUUACGAAGAACAUUUAUAGAUUACCUUAGAUUUUUCUUCAAAUAUUCCAUGAUGUCAACAUUGACUUCUAUAUGGUCAUCGUCUCUUGAUUAGCAUUAGUUUGCUCAUCCACAACGAUCUCUAUGAUACUAUCAACUCAUGAAAUUAUUUUCUCAUCUCUUUUUUCUCACCACCGGACAUAGUAGAUCUGAAAUUUAGAAUAGACAAGUACUAAUUAAAAACUUAACACAAAGUCUUAUGGAAAAUUCUAGGGCGGAAGAUAAGACCACAUAAUCAACCUUAUUUGAAAUCAACGAUGAUGUGUAUGGCAAGGACCGAGGUAGCCUAUGCG